rnacentral:rRNA from 1 species
GAUAAACGGCUGGCGGCGCACAUAAGACAUGCAAGUCGAACGGACUUAACCAUUAGUUUACUAUUGGAGCGGUUAGUGGCGGACUGGUGAGUAACACGUAAGCAACCUGCCUAUCAGAGGGGAACAACAGUUAGAAAUGACUGCUAAUACCGCAUAUGCCUUAGAAUCACAUGAUUCAAAGGGAAGAGCAAUCCGCUGAUAGAUGGGCUUGCGUCUGAUUAGAUAAGUUGGUGAGGUAACGGCUCACCAAGUCUGCGAUCAGUAGCCGGACUGAGAGGUUGAACGGCCACAUUGGAACUGAGAUACGGUCCAGACUCCUACGGGAGCAGCAGUGAGGGAUAUUGGGCAAUGGGCGAAAGCCUGACCCAGCAACGCCGCGUGAAGGAAGAAGGUCUUCGGAUUGAAACUUUGCUUAUGGGACGAUAAUGACGGUACCAUAGGAGGAAGCCA